CUACAAUGCCUUUCUCCUGCCCCUCCCCAGCCUGAGGUUGCUCUUCUGCUCACACUCUCUGUCCUUGUCACACACAGUGGAGCACCAAAGGGAGAAGGUUUCAGAAAACUUUUCUGAAGCGUAAAAGGGUACUAUAAAAUGAACUCACAACCAUUAAGGCCUGGCAGUUCCCUGCAGUGAGAGCUCAGUGCACAUCCACAGAGGCAAUUCCAGCAUCUGAAAGGAAGAAAAGAAGAAAAAGGACUUUUCCAAUCCAACCCUGAAGCUGAGAAGCCCAAAAGCUCUGGAGUCUGCUCUGGAACAAAAGGAUCCUCCCAGGGCUGAGGCCCAUUCCCAGCAAACUCUCCCAACAGGCCCAGAGGCGCCGCUGGAGCUCCUGCUGGGCUGGGAAGGGCUGCCAGGAGGACACAGCCCCAGGGGUGGCAGUGGCAGUGGCAGCAGCAAAUGGCCACGCUGGGAUGGCACAGCAGAGCCCAAGGCCAGCAAUGGCCACGGCAGCUGCAGGGUUAAUUCUGCUCCCUGCGCUGCCCCAGCCCGGCAGGAAAUGCCGGGGGGACAGAAACUCUCGGGGUGCACAAAGUGCAGCAUCUGUGCCCCCGAUCCUGCCUGAGCCCAGCGUGGGGGGCCAACCCCCCCAGGGCCAGCCCUGCCCUGCCCUGGCUCAGCCCCAGACACUGCCCCAGCUCCCGGCUGCUCCCGGGGCUGCCACCAUUCCUGGCAAGGGGACAAAAGUGACAGAGCCCCUCUGGACAGGGCUCUCUCGGGGUCUCAGGCGUC